AUCCUUACUCCUCUGAUGAAGUCAAUAUGCAAACAUCAUUAGCUUUCAAACCCUUCAAUGUGCAGUCAAGGUUGAAAACUAAGUGUAAGAGUAGUCCUAGCACAGUUAACAAAGAAAUACCACAAAGUAGAGAUCCUCCAAAUAUCUCUAGUAUUUCAUCAUCAGUCCUAAUACAGUCUGAAUAGUUUUAGUUCAUUAUUAACCUGUUACAAUCCUUCUCUACUUUGCCAAAACUGAUUUAAAUACUCAAGGUUUAAUACAUGUUGUUAUAAUUGUAUUAUAGAUGCCCAUCCUUGCCUCCCACCCAUACCUGGCUCUGAAUGAAUUUGGCCAAACCCACAGCUAAAGAGGGUCUGUUGGUCUGGAUGAAGGGAAUUUAGGGGAAACAAUUUAUUUUUAUUUUCUGUUUAAAAAAUUAAAGGAAGCUUGUACUACUAGCAGAUUCACAAGAGUCAAGCACUUCCUCUCACUGCUUUCAAGAAAAGAAUGAUAAGAUAAAAAAGUGGCUCUAACAAACCAAUAUUUCAAUUGCAGCCAAAAUGUACCAGAGGAAAUAACCUGGGUGAUGGCUGACUUUGCAAACAGAAUAUGAUUCAAAUAGAUGAGACUCUCAACUGGGGAUGAUUUUACCCCAAUAUUAUCAGAAGGUGUUUCUGGUUGUCACAAAUGAUGGAUGGGGGUGGGUGCUUCUGUUAUUUACUGGGCAGAGGCCAGUAGCAUCAUAGGUCACUGAACAGGCAAGUUUGUCAGCCUAAAAUCUCAUAGUGCCAACGCUGAGAAAUAUGACACUAAAGAGACUGCUUCUUCAGGAACUGAAAAUAAAGGUUUUUUCCAGAACAGUGAAGACUAUUUUGGGCUGGAUGCAGUUGCAUAGGCCUGUAAUCCCAGCAGCUUGGGGGGGCUGAGGAUCUGAAGUUCAAAGCCAGCCUCAGCAAUCUAGGGAGGCUGUAAGCAACUUAGUGAGAUCCUGUCUUAAAAUAUAUAGAAAGGGCUGGGGACACGGCUCAGUGGUAAAGUGCCCCUGGAUUCAACCUCUGAUACCAAAAAAAAAAAAAAUUACUUUGGAACUCUUCCUUGAUCUACUUCUACAGAUGCCAUGUAAAAUAAAAUAAGCCAUCAGUUUUUGUCUUUAAGAGUGUGAAAUGUCCCUUUAUUAGAACUAAUGGAAAUCUGAGGACUAGAGCUAAACAUCUAGAUGACAAAUUGUUAACCAAUGGCCUCUACAAUGGGGCAUGUUCAGCCUAGGGUGAAGCAAGAAUAUCCAUUGGGGUAUGAGGAGAAAAACAUAUUUUUAAUCAUGAAAAAAAAAAGUUGCUUAUGCUUUCAUUUAGUCUUGGGUGUAGUCAUGUGCCAAACAUGAUAUGUGAAUCCUGGGCGAAGAUUGGACGUUUGUUUGUUUUGAAGUCCUGAUGGUGAUUCCUCAUUUUCUUAACUGCACUCACACUUCUGGCCUGGCCAUAGGUUGGAUCAGCUGAUGUUAGUUCACGGUCAUGAGGGCACACAAGGGCUACACUGAUUGAGAUUCCAGGCAGGAAUAAAAGCUUCUAACCUUAAGCAGAAAAAAAACAAAAAGAUUAAAUACUUC
rnacentral:lncRNA from 1 species